rnacentral:sRNA from 1 species
UUAUGGAUAAGAGCAUUUCGGACACCGAUGUUUGGAAUUUGUCACAAGGGCCGAAUGAGUCAUUUUGGAUUUUUAUGACCAAAUUCAAGGGUGUACUUUCAAAGCUUCCAAGGAUUUCGCAACAAUCGGCUUUGUCUGCCCUACGAAAAGGCUUGUGGCAUGAUUCAAAAUUUUAAAAGGAUCUAAUACUACACAAGCCGGACACAAUUCAAGAUGCACUUUUUCGAGCAAACAACUGGACGGAAGUAGAAGACGAAAAAGAAAGUUUU